rnacentral:rRNA from 1 species
CGCUGAACUUAAGCAUAUCAAUAAGCGGAGGAAAAGAAACCAACAGGGAUUGCCUCAGUAACGGCGAGUGAAGCGGCAACAGCUCAAAUUUGAAAUCUGGUCUUCAUGAGGCCCGAAUUGUAAUUUGUAGAGGAUGUCUUCGGGUUUGGCCCCGGCCUAAGUUCCUUGGAACAGGACGUCACAGAGGGUGAGAAUCCCGUAUGUGGCUGGAGGUCUAUACCCAUGUGAAGCUCCUUCGAUGAGUCGAGUUGUUUGGGAAUGCAGCUCAAAAUGGGUGGUAAGUUUCAUCUAAAGCUAAAUACUGGCGGGAGACCGAUAGCGCACAAGUAGAGUGAUCGAAAGAUGAAAAGCACUUUGGAAAGAGAGUUAAAAAGUACGUGAAAUUGUUGAAAGGGAAGCGCUUGCGACCAGACUUGCCCUCAGCUGAUCAACUAGUGUUAUUCACUGGUGCACUUGGUUGAGGUCAGGCCAGCAUCGGUUUGAACGGUUGGAGAAAGGUCAGAGGAAUGUGGCUCCCUUCGGGGAGUGUUAUAGCCUGUGAUGCCAUGCAACCAGUUUGGACCGAGGACCGCGCCUUUGUGCUAGGAUGCUGGCGUAAUGGUCGUAAGCGACCCGUCUUGAAACACGGACCAAGGAGUCUAACAUCUAUGCGAGUGUUUGGGUGUCAAACCCAUGUGCGUAAUGAAAGUGAACGGAGGUGGGAACCCUUAAGGGUGCACCAUCGACCGAUCCUGAUGUCUUCGGAUGGAUUUGAGUAAGAGCAUAGCUGUUGGGACCCGAAAGAUGGUGAACUAUGCCUGAAUAGGGUGAAGCCAGAGGAAACUCUGGUGGAGGCUCGCAGCGGUUCUGACGUGCAAAUCGAUCGUCAAAUUUGGGUAUAGGGGCGAAAGACUAAUCGAACCAUUCCCCACGGGGGUAGGUGGUUAAGAGGCAGAUAAAAGGUCUGUCUAGUCCCAAAGUUCACGGGGCAACACUGUCAAAUUGCGGGGACUCCCUCAAAAUAGCCUAAACAACCGCAGCCUGGACGAAAGACGGGUGCGCACCAGGGUAAUGACCUCGGGUAUGGUAAAAUCGUUUAGGAUGGGGAUAUCCGCAGCUAAGUUCCUAAAGGCCUAGCCCUUUAGUACAGAGAAGGUCUUGGUUCGUCCCGGAAUGCAUGGGCUUUCAGCGAGAAUUAGCACUUGCUGUUAGCUUCAUGAAUCUUAACCUGAGACUGUACACUACCGGGGCCCAUGGAAAAAGUUCACAGACUAGAUGGCAGUGGGUAAGAGUUCGCUAAAACUCUUGCUUAAGGUAUAGUCGGGCCCCCGUGAGAGCGGGGCGGUGGGAAAAAGCGCUUUAGUAAAGAGUGAACUCUGUAAAGUCUUCGUCUGACGCAGUCAAGGCUGUUACAGAUCCUAAGUGCCCGAAACCCAUCGGGAAGGACCUUUCUGGAGGUAGUGGAAAGUAUAUCCUUCUGGUACACCGCUAGUAGCUGGUUCCUGCCGAAGUUUCCCUCAGGAUAGCAGUAACGUAUUCAGUUUUAUGAGGUAAAGCGAAUGAUUAGAGGCCUUGGGGUUGAAACAACCUUAACCUAUUCUCCAACUUUA